CCGAAGUGUUUCGCUGCAAUAUACAAGCCUUGCAAGGACUGUGUAGAAACAGCGUAUUAUUACAACCACACCACGCAGAAAUGCAAGAAGUAUUCAACUAGCGCCGAGGCAUGGGUUGCUCCUGAACAGGCUAAUUGCUUUGGAAAUCGCCAGGAGUGUAAAAGAUACUGCAGGGGAUUUACUGCCUCGCAAGAAAACAGCAACCAUUAAGCAAAGGAAAGCACGAGGACGUUUUGGAGGCCACCAAGAGAAGCAAAAGAAGGUCCCUGCUUCCGUCAAGCCAGAAUAAUCUCCACGGAUGGUUACUUUCCUUCAGAAUACUGUAUAAAAACUCUACCGAGACCAGUACUACUAUUGCUGAAUAAUAAACCGUUUUUAAUAAAUGUGUGCGCAGGAGAAAUCGGUCCUAUAUGCCCUAC